rnacentral:rRNA from 1 species
CUACGGGUUGCUGCAGUAAGGAAUAUUGCGCAAUGGAGGCAACUCUGACGCAGCCAUGCCGCGUGCAGGAAGAAGGCCUUAUGGGUCGUAAACUGCUUUUAUUUAGGAAUAAACCCCCGAACGUGUUCGGGGCUGCAGGUACUAAACGAAUAAGCACCGGCUAACUCCGUGCCAGCAGCCGCGGUAAUACGGAGGGUGCAAUCGUUAUCCGGAUUUAUUGGGUUGAAAGGGUGCGCAGGCGGGCUAUUAAGUCAGUGGUGAAAUCCCGGGGCUCAACUCCGGAACUGCCAUUGAUACUGAUAGUCUUGAGUUUGGUUGAAGUGGGCGGAAUGUAGCAUGUAGCGGUGAAAUGCAUAGAUAUGCUACAGAACACCAAUCGCGAAGGCAGCUCACUAAGCCAAAACUGACGCUCAUGCACGAAAGCGUGGGGAUCAAACAGGAUUAGAUACCCUUGUAGUC